rnacentral:rRNA from 1 species
UGCGCAGGCGGGUAUAUAAGUCAGAGGUGAAAUUCCACGGCUCAACUGUGGGACUGCCUUUGAUACUGUAUGUCUAGAGUAUAUUUGGAGUGGGCGGAAUGUAGCAUGUAGCGGUGAAAUGCUUAGAUAUGCUACAGAACACCGAUCGUGAAGACAGCUCACUAAACUAUAACUGACGCUCAGGCACGAAAGCGUGGGAUCAAACAGGAUUAGAUACCCUGGUAGUCCACGCUGUAAACGAUGAUUACUCGCUGUUGGCGAUACACAGUCAGCGGCUAAGCGAAAGUGAUAAGUAAUCCACUGGGGAUACGAUCGCAAGAUUGAA